AGUUUGAUCAUGGCUCAGGACGAACGCUGGCGGCGUGCCUAAUACAUGCAAGUCGAACGAGAAUUUUUUACACCGAGUGCUUGCACUCACCGUGAAAAAUUCGAGUGGCGGACGGGUGAGUAACACGUGGGUAACCUGCCCAAAAGAAGGGGAUAACAUUUGGAAACAAAUGCUAAUACCGUAUAACCAUGAUGACCGCAUGGUCAUGAUGUAAAAGGUGGUUUUGCUAUCGCUUUUGGAUGGACCCGCGGCGUAUUAACUAGUUGGUAGGGUAACGGCCUACCAAGGUGAUGAUACGUAGCCGAGUUGAGAGACUGAUCGGCCACAAUGGGACUGAGACACGGCCCAUACUCCUACGGGAGGCAGCAGUAGGGAAUCUUCCACAAUGGGCGCAAGCCUGAUGGAGCAACGCCGCGUGAAUGAAGAAGGUCUUCGGAUCGUAAAAUUCUGUUGUUAGAGAAGAAUAUGAGUAAUAGUAACUGAUUAUUCACUGACGGUAUCUAACCAGCAAGUCACGGCUAACUACGUGCCAGCAGCCGCGGUAAUACGUAGGUGGCAAGCGUUGUCCGGAUUUAUUGGGCGUAAAGGGAACGCAGGCGGUUUUUUAAGUCUGAUGUGAAAGCCUUCGGCUUAACCGGAGAUGUGCAUUGGAAACUGGAAGACUUGAGUGCAGAAGAGGAGAGUGGAACUCCAUGUGUAGCGGUGAAAUGCGUAGAUAUAUGGAAGAACACCAGUGGCGAAAGCGGCUCUCUGGUCUGUAACUGACGCUGAGGUUCGAAAGCAUGGGUAGCGAACAGGAUUAGAUACCCUGGUAGUCC
rnacentral:rRNA from 1 species